UGUAGUCAUUUAGCUUGUCUCAAAGAUUAAGCCAUGCAUGUCUAAGUACAUACUGUUUAUAAAGUGAAACCGCGAAUGGCUCAUUAAAUCAGUUACGGUUCCUCGGAUAUUCUUUUUUACAUGGAUAACUGUGGUAAUUCUAGAGCUAAUACAUGAACAAGUGUUCCAACCUCAGCUUGCUGACGGAAGGAUCGCAUUUAUUAGUACAAGACCAAUGAUUCUUAUUCACCUAGAACCCUGUUCAGUGAUUUCGGUCGCUGUCUAAGGACUAGCAGUGGGGAUCUUAGCAACUUCGGUUGCAUUUCUUGUGAUGACUCUGAAUAACUGAGCAAAUCGUAUGGCCUCUGAGCCGACGAUGUAUCCCUCAAGCAACUGCCUUAUCAACUGUCGAUGGUAGGUUAUGCGCCUACCAUGGUUGUAACGGGUAACGGGGAAUUAGGGUUCGAUUCCGGAGAGGGAGCCUGAGAAACGGCUACCACAUCUAAGGAAGGCAGCAGGCGCGCAAAUUACACAAUCCCAGUACGGGGAUGUAGUGACGAAAAAUAACAAUACGGGACUCUAUUGAGGCCCCGUAAUUGGAAUGAGUACAAUUAAAUCCUUUAACGAGGAUCUAUUGGAGGGCAAGUCUGGCCCCAGCAGCCA
rnacentral:rRNA from 1 species